rnacentral:lncRNA from 1 species
UUAUGACCUCGGAAAGAUCUGCACCUAGGAAAACGGUCAAACCGGUUUGCCAGGGCGGUCAGACCGGUUUGGUCUGUAUAGUCUGAGUUAGGAAUUGUAUUUUGACACGUGAUUUAUUAGGGUUUCGACUUCUAAUGGGGCAAGAGCUCCCCUCACUGUCACAGCCGAUUGAGGGUAUCCAAUCGAUCAAAAACAUUAUCAAUCUACUAUUUUUGCCUUUUUACCUUUUCUCUUUGCCGUAACUUUUUCAAUCCCCAUCUGCUGUUCUUCUUUCGUCUCUAUGACGUCUAAGGACAUUCUAGGUGGCCUACCG